CUGGAUCCAUAAGGUGUAUCAUACAUAUAUGCUCUUUUGAACCGAGUUAAAACUUUGACCUGAAAUUGUGAAUGUUUAAAGAGAACUGUUGUUCUGUUCAAUAUCUUGAGAACUCUGUACUUAACAGGCACCACGCUUGGUACACUGGAACAUCCUAAGAAGUAGAUGCCUCCCAAUGGUUUUCAAGUCACAAGCGAAGUUCAAAGGCCAUAACUCAAAUGACUGAUUAUUUGAGAAUGACUGUUCAGUGUCUUGAGCGAAUUCAAACUUAGAAUUGUGGUCGCCUCUGAUUAUUAGAUAAUCUAUAUUUUCACUAUCACUAUAGGUAUUUUAGAUAUAAAAUUGAUCCUUUUGAAUAUUGCCACAUGGGGAGUAUACAUGUUUCUAAAGCAUUUCUUGUUUAUAUUCAGAAACAUAUUGUCACUUUUAGGCAACAUUACUUUGUGCAGGUAGCAAAUGUUCCCCAAAACGAGAAUUUUUUUUACAUUUUUAUUUUUUCUAAGACAAUAGCUUGUUAAUGAAAGGUGAAGAUAAUGAACAGUGAUCAAUCUCAUAAAAUUUUCUGCAUAUAAUUCCAAUACGGUUGAUCAAACCUGAAUAAAAAAGGACUUGUUGAGUACAUGUGUACCAUUAAAGGUGCAAGACCCUGUCUACAUACAUACUCUGCAGCAGUGCAACUUUAGUACAAGUGACAUUUUUGAAGUGUGUAUUAUACAUGUAUAUGGAUGAUCUUGUGCAUGUUCAACGGCGCAAGGUCAAUCUUCUGAAAUACUAGUAGCUACAGCUUGAGUAUACCUUCACUGUUAAAUUUCAAAGAAAUAAGCAUGGCAUGUACAGUAUUAGGAAAUUAGAGAUUCAUCAUCUUAUUGUCAAUAUGAUCUUGUUCUCUAUCUGUCGACAUGAUGCAGACCAAUAAACAAAUAUGCCUUCGAUGUCAUGGACAGAAAAUAGUAUUAUAGUCUUGGAGUUUUUAAUCUCCAUCUUUUUAAAUCACAAAACUUGAUUACGUUUUCAUUUUCUGCGAACUGAUAUAGCCUUUUUUGCGAUUGUUGUAUGAUAAAACCUGCCCAGUUGCUUUAUAUGUUUAUCAUCAGCACGAUAAAACUGCGGGAUGUUGUAGAAUUACUCAACGGAGGCUAAUGUUCCAACACUAUAAAACAUGUUUCUCCAUUUAAGGAAGCUGUCAAAGAAACAUCCCUUUUCCAACUAAUAUGUCCUUAAAAACCUAAAACGACAGUAAAGGAAAAUCAUCGGGAAAUUACUGGGCUUCUUGUUGUAGAUUAAAGGAAGAAAAUGGACGCCAAAUGCAAUCAAUACCACGAGAAGGUCCCGUCACAAGAAAACUUACGACUACAUUAUAAAGAUUGGGUUGGAGCUCUUUUAGCAAGGUUUCCUUAGAUACAAUUAAUAACUAUAUUUAGUACAUCUCGAGGCUAUAUCACGUGUCAGUACAUUUGUUACUGUUGCUCCGGGUAAGUGUAGAAUUUUGGAGAUAUAAUAGAGAGCAUUCACUGUCGUGGGAUUCAAUUUAGAGACAAACAAGUAUGUUUAUGGGGAAUUAAUUCCGUAGUUGAAAAGUAACUAUUCUUUAUUGUAGUUCAGCUUUUCGCUUUCGUGGAGGAUGUCCUUAACACGAUUGAUUGUUUUUCGUCCCGUCGAAAAUUUUUCUCUCAUAUUGAGACGUCACCAGCUGUAGGUGAAGGACCUUGCUUUGCGCUCAGGGCCAUAGCAAUGAGGGUUCUUUAUCGUGCCAACGCCUGUCGCGACACAGGGCCUUAGUUUUUAAGGUCAUAUCCGAAAUAUCUGUGAAUCUCACUUCUAAAUGCCGAGUGUUUGACGAAGGAGCAAUCAUUACCUAAAACGUCUUAAUGCGGUCUUGGAACUCGAACUCACGACCUCCCGAUUAUGAAACGAACGUUCUACCACUGAGUUAUCGCAACCGUUCCUAUAUCACGGAAAUAUCAAAAUAAAUUAACGAUAUUACAGCAUUCAGAUUUCUUUUAGAAAAGAAACAGAGUUGAACUGAAGUCGCAAUAGACAAAAGUUACAGGACAUCGUAUCUUUUUGAUAUUUUGAACUUGUAUCCCUCUGGGGGCUAUUGCAAAUAACCUCCCAGCAGGCAUGCAACGUUGUUUCAACGUUGUUUCAACGUUGAUAUUUGGAUGUGACGUCGAACAACCAUUUUUCAACGUUGGUUCAACGUUACUAUUUCGACGUCGAAAUUUCAACGUUGUACUGACGUUGAAUCAACGUUUAGAAUCAAGUUUUGGAAGGGUUCCAAAUAAUUAUGUUUUUCUUAAUUCGUGUUAAUUAAUCUGUGUAUACUCAAUAAAGUAUAAAUUUAUCAUUUUGAAAGAGGAUUUAAAAUUAGUCGACAAUUCGACGUCUAUAUGACGUCUAAGUGACGUUGAAAAUAAAUGAUUUUACAAACACGUACAUAUUUUUAUAAAAAUUAUUUUUUUUUUAAAAAUCAGUAUAAGAUGUAAAAAAAAAAAAAAAAAAAAGAAAGAAAAAGAAAAAAGGGUCUAAUAUGUUUUUAAAAUAAAAAUGAAUGCAUGUUUGGCUACUAUUAAAGGGCGGGUAACUCUAAUUCCGGUUUAUGACAGGAAGUGUACGAUUAAAAGCGCGGGCUUUCAGCGAGGUAAACAAAGGAAGACAAAGUAGGAAAAGAAAGGGAAUAUAUGAUCUACACGAACUGAGCGGUGCUAGAGAUGUUUGGCUAAUGACAUGAUGGCAAGAAUGAAUUUGCGAGCAAACAAGGGAAAGGCAGCCUUCAGCAGAACAAUUCUGUAUUCCGUUAUAAAAGAAUCUGUACUUGCCAGCAAUCCAAGGGCAACUGAAAGCAACAUAGACUAGAUCAAGGGGGAAAUAUCUGAAGUAUACCCCGGAAAGAGCUGGAGGAGGUGGCCGAAAAGAGAACAAUGGACUAAUAGGCUUUAAUUAAAAAUAUAGUUUUUUGUGGGUCACUCACACUCUUGGAAAAAAACCACUCUAGUUAAAUAUCUUAACUAUUGCUUCUGCAAUAGAAAGUAAUUAUCAAAGUUAAUAAAUUUUAUACUAUCAUUCUAUUAAUAUUUGUUUUUGAAUGGAAAUUCAAUUUUUGAAACCAUGUGAAAAAUCUGACAAAUUUAUUUUGCCUUUCAUUUGCGUGUAUAAAUGAAUUUAACCUUGUAUCAUUGUUGUAAUUUUUUACAGUGGAAGUUAUAGAGUUUCACUUGUAUUAUUCAUGUUGUUGUCAUUAUUCUUUUUGUAAGAAUUAAAUUAGGGAAGUAAGGAUUAGUAAUUGUAUUUAGAAUUGUGGAUUACAGCCUGAUGUUUACCAUUUUUCAGCAGCAUGUACACUCAACUUUGCAAUAAAGAUCAAUAAUAUUUUCAAAA